rnacentral:tRNA from 1 species
CUCUUUUUAAGUUAAAAUUUUUUUAAACUUCUUCAUUUGCGUUGAAAAUAUUUUUUUAGAAAAAAAAAGGGU